UUUCACAAAACAUGCUUACAAAAACUCUAGCUUAAGAUUGCUUUGCAGGCUGCUUGAAUUGGGGUCAAUAUUAUUGUACCUAAACAAAGAAACAGCUACCGGCAAAUGAAUUUAGUUCUGAUUGAGAAACAUAGUCACCAAACUUGGUUAUUGCUAACGUAUAUUAGGACUUACCUUAAGAAUGUAUUUUCGGUCGCUAGGAUGAAAAAAAUCAACUGUUUAAAUUUGUUUAUACUGAACAGUCAUGGUAUUUUUUUGUAAGAUGUAGAUAUAUGUGUUCGUCUGUGUUCUAUUUGUAUACAAGAUUUAUUCCUUGCAGAGAAUAACGCUUCCAAGAAUUAUAAAGAUAUCCUGUGUCUUGAUAAUAAGAUGAAAACAUUUGAAUUUGAUGUCUUAAAAAAUAAUCGAAUAAUAAAACGAAUCCCUGUGGUUAUGUGUUCCAAUUUUUAUGUUUUGAGAAAUCCCCCAGAUUUUGACCAUAGUACAUAGUACGUCUACAUUGUCCGUGUCCGUUGUAAAGGUCUAAUAUAAUGUGGGUAUGCAACUUUUGAUGCCCUAUGCUUUUUCUGCUAUGUGCAUGCUCAGUAGAGUGAGAGAAGCCUCCAUUAGGUACUGUGUUACAAGUGUGACAAAAAAUUGAAAUCUUUGGUUACUGGCAAGAUGUCUAGAUCAGUUAAACUAUUACAUGUAUCCCAGUUUUAGAACCUUAGGCCUGGGUAAACAUAAGGGUAUGAAGAGCAUUACAGUUAGAGUUAAUUUUAAGACUUGGAAGGCAGUACAUUUACAGCUACAUUUUGUUGUUUUUCUAAGUCUGAUCUAUUGUAGUUUAUACAUUAAUUAAUUAAUCGUUAAGGUAAUGUUAUUAUUAACAUACACUCCAGUAUAAGGGCAGCACUUAAACAACAUAAUUAUUAUGUAAUAUGCCCAUAUGACUUAAAUCAUGAUAAUCAUUCAGAUUUAUAUAAGAUAGCUAUUUGUUACGAACAUUAUUAUUAUUGGUGCAGAAUACAAAACUUUUUGUACCCCCCGACAACAAAGUUGUAAGGGGGGGUAUACUGGUUUCAGGUUGUCUGUCUGUCUGUCCGUCUGGCCGUAGACGCAAUCUUGUGCGCACCAUCUCUCCUUAUCCCCUUGACAGAAUUUAAUGAAACUUCACACAAGUGAUCAGUACCAACAGUAGUUGUGCAUGGGGCAUGUUAGGUUCUUUUAGAAAAAAAAUUUGCAGAGUUAUGGGACUUUGUUUUUUUGUUACUAUACUAUAUACAUAGACACAAUCUUGUGCGCACCAUCUCUCCUCAUCCCCUUGACACAAUUUAAUGAAACUUCACACAAGUGAUCAGUAACAACAGUAGUUGUGCAUGGGGCAUAUUAGGUUCUUUCAGAAAAAAAAUUUGCAGAGUUAUGGGACUUUGUUUUUUUGUUACUCUACUAUAUACAUAGACACAAUCUUGUGCGCACCAUCUCUCCUCAUCCCCUUGACACAAUAUAAUGAAACUUCACACAAGUGAUCAGUACAACCCCAGUUGUACAUGGGGCAUGUUAGGUUCUUUCAGCGACAAAAUUUGCAGAGUUAUGGGACUUUGUUUCUUGUUAACAUACUAUGUACAUACAGUCUGCAUAUGCAAUCUUGUGCGUGCCUAAUCAACCAAACCCUUACACACAAUUUAAUGAAACUUCACACAAGUGAUCAGUACCAACCCUAGUUGUGCAUGGUGCAUGUUACAUUCUUUUAGAUAAAUAUUCUGCAUAGUUGUGUGACUUUGUUUUUUGUUACUAUACUGUAUACAUACAGUCUAUAUACAUACAGUCCACAUAAUUAUGUAAUCUUGUGUGCAUCAAAUUGCAAUGUACUGUGUCAGUGCAUGCGGGGGGUACAUUCAUCACUUUUAGUGAUAGCUCUAGUUUAUUGAGGUUUAAAUUUCAUACUUGUUGGAGUACAUGUAACCUGAAUUGUGAAAAAUAUAAGUUGUUAGCUAUUGUAACCACGGACAAGUUGAUACUGGUAUAAAAUGCAGGAAAACGGAUCAGGUGAACUGACCGCUGUUGUGUAACUGAAAUAGUGUUGAAAAAUGGAAUAUUAAAUGAACCAAUAAACAAAAUUGAGCCAAAAUUUUCACUGUUGUGCAAUUUUACUUGUGUAGUUCUAUUUAUACCCAUUUGUAAAUUACAUUUUUACCUUACCUAUUUUUAUUUACAUUUUAUCCAAUGAUAUAUCAUACAAUAUUCUUUUCCAUACUUUGUGAUAUUCGCGUAGUUGUAUGUAAAGUUAAUUAAUAAAGUAUAUUAUAUGCUUAAUUUUAGAAAAUAUUUCUCAUCAACUCAAACAUGUAUACAGUCAGACCUGUACACUAACGGCCUCUGACUAAAUACCACUACUGUUCAGCCUGUAUUGAAAGGUCACCAUUCCUUGUCAUAUGAUAUACUAAUAUUACUUAUAUUUUACUGAUUAAAAAUGACCACUUGUUAACAAAAACUCCUUAAUUUCACAUAGUCUUCUUAGACAGGCUCGACUGUAGUGUAUGUAAUUGUUUUGGGUAGUUUUUGUAUUUCCAGCAGAUAUGUUAUGUGAUUACUGAAAUCCUCUGUGAAACAGGUUUAUGUUAUAGUCUACUAAAUACUUGAGCCACACCUUGAGAAAACCCAACUUUGUGCAUUUGCGACCAGCAUGGAUCCAGACCAGCCUGCGCAUCUGUGCAGUCUGGUCAGGAUCUAUUCUGUUCGCUUUCAAAGCCUAUUGCAACUAGACAAACCAUUAGGAUUAAAAAAAAUUGUUUGUUUCCGGUAUCCCGACCUACCCUAAAUUUUUGGCCUGACCCUAAAUGUUUUUAUGGCCCUGGAGAAUAUUUUUUUCAACUUUUUUAACAAAAGUUACAAAACUGCACUUUUUAUGCUUUAAACAUGGUCAGUGGUGUUAGAAAUCAACUUACUGAUGCUCUAAAGGCAUAACCCCCUUAUUUGUGUUCAUUUUUCAACACAGAAAUAAUUUCCGAAGUCUCCCCUAAUAAAAAGAAAUUCAAAAAAAAAAAAAAAAAAAUUUCGACAUACCUACCUUAAUUUUUUUGAGCAUGUUACCGGAAACAAAGAAUUUUUUAGGCCUUAGCAAACAGCAUGGAUCCAUGGAUCCUGACCAUCCUGUUGAAUUUUAAGCUCACCAGAGCGCAAAGUGCUCAAGGUGAGCUAUUGUGACUGGUCAUUGUACGGCGACCGACGUGCGUCAACAUUUGCCUUGUGAACACUCUAGAGGCCACAUUUAUAACCCAGUCUUUAUGAAACUUGGUCAGAAUGUUAGUCUUGAUGAUCUCUAGGUCAACUGUGAAACUGGGUCAUGUGGGAUCAAGAACUAGGUCAGUAGGCCAGAUCAAAGGAAAAGCUUUUGAACACUCUAGAGGCCACAGUUGUGACCCAAUCUUUAUGAAACUUGGUCAGAAUGUUUAUCGUGAUGAUUUCUAAAUCAGGUUUGAAACUCGGUCAUAUGGGGUCAAAAACUAGGUCAGCAGGCCAGAUCAAAGGAAAAACUUGUGAACACUUAAGAUGUCACAGUUGUGACUCAAUCUUUAUGAAAUUUGAUCAGAAUGUUUGUCUUGAUGAUCUCUAUGUCAAGUUUGAAUCUGGGUCAUGUAGGGUCAAAAACUAGGUCAGUAGGCCAGAUCAAAGGAAAAGCUUGUGAUCACUCUACAGGCAACAGUUGUGACUCAAUCUUUAUGAAACUUGGUCAGAAUGUUUGUCUUGAUGAUCUCUAGGUCCAGUUUUAAUCUGGGUCAUUUGUGGUCAAAAAGUAGGUCACCUGGUCAAAUCAAUGGAAAAGUUUGUAAACAUCCUAAAGGCAGCAGUUGUGACUCAUUCUAUAUGAAACUUGGUCAAAAUGUUUGUCUUUAUGAUCUUUAGGUUAAUUCGAAACUGGGUCAUUUGGGGUCAAAAAUGAGGUCAGUAGGCAAGAUCAACUCUGGUGAGUUAUAUAGGGCCAUUAUGGCCCUCUUGUUUUACAUUUUUAUACACACACCUUAUUUAUUCUAGUGAAGUAUGUAGUUUGUUGGCAUUACAACACUUGUUUAUUAUGUGGAAGUCUUGCGUGGUUCUAGGUUGACUUAUCUUUGAAAAGAAUUAGAACCACUGUAUUACCCUUGCAUGAUUGCAAGGAGUGACUUGCUAGGUCUGAACUUUGCUAUAUCUCUAUGAUUCUAGCAGGUAUAAAGUUUUUACUGCAUGUCAGGUAUUUUUAUUUCCAUGUAUAUUGAGAAUUUUAGUCAUGUAAUAUGUACAAUGUACUUUGUUGGUGUGCUGUAAAAACCAGUAUACCAGUGUAGUGUCAUCAUGUUGUAAUGAAAACUUUUGAACAAAAUGCUUUGAAUAACGUGAAAUUUGUUGUUGAAUAUGCAGUUUUUGUAUCUUACUAUGCUUAAUCUUUAAAAAAAUAAUAAGAGAUAUAUAAUCAGAUAUAAUAAAACCAGUAAGCAACAGUUACUGUUGAUUUUAGCAUUGUAAAUGCAGUCACUUAACUGUCACUUAAUUAUAGCCCUGAAUAUAAGUAAUGGGGUCAGUAUUGGAGUCAUGCUUGUCCAUCCGUCAUGUUCGCUUGUAUCUUCUUAACUGCUAGGAAAGUUUUACUAAAACUUGCAACAAUACACAUCAAGAGUGCGCAUCAAAUUAAAGUCACACUUCAAGGUGAAAUAGCUUGAUCUCUUAUCCUUUUCAUACUGUUUCAUGAAACUAGCUUGAAAUAAUUACCUCAUCAAGACAUGUAGAGUGCACCACCCAAGUUACUAGGAUGAAAGUCAAGGUCACACUUGGAUGUCAAAGGUUAAAUAGCUUGAAUUUUUCAUAUACCUAGCAUCAAUUAUUAACUUCACCUUGUAGAACACACAUGCCAGAACAGGUCCAAGAGCAAGGUCCCACUUACAGGUCAGAGUGAUUCUCCUUGCGCUUGCUCCAUAUCUUCUAAACCGCUUGGAAGAUUUUCAUAAAACUUGCGUCCAUUAUUUACCUCUUUAUAAGAUGACUUCCAUAGCACAUGACUUGAGUCAACAAGUCUAAGGUCAAUGUUACACGGGGGCCAAAGAUCAGAUAGGCGGAUAUUCUAAACCACGAGAAUGAAUUUCUUAAAAUUAAUGUUGGUUGCUAACCUCAGCCAGGUAACGUGGAGUGCAGAACCCAAGUCAAUAGGGUCAAGGUAACACUGGAAUGUCAAAGAUCAAAUUUGUGACCUCUCCCUAUAUGAACUGCUAGAAGCAUUUUCAUAAAACUAGCAUCAUUUGUUAAAUUCUCCUAGACAUCUUGCAGAAUGCAUAACCCAGGUCAGGGUCAAGAUCACACUUGAAGGUCAAAUGUCAUGAUCUUACUGUAUCAAAGCAACAUCGGGUGGCGGUAUUAAUCACAUUUAGUAAUAGUAAAACUGGCUGGGAAUUUGUUAUGUGAUUAAUAUCCAUGUAUAGUUUGGCAUUAUGUUCUUUAUAUUUUUAUCAUUAUUUGUACAUGUAUUAGUUUUACUUCGUUUUCAGAAUAAAUUCAAUAAUAAA